rnacentral:tRNA from 1 species
GGAGAGUUGCCUGAGCGGCUGAAAGGGCCGGUUUCGAAAACCGGUGUGCGAGCAAUCGUACCGGGGGUUCGAAUCCCUCACUCUCCGCCA